ACGGUAUAUGUCUUUCGGGACAUAGAGAGUGGCGAACGGGUGCGUAACGCGUAUGCAACCUACCUUGUACAGGGGAAUAGCCCGGAGAAAUUCGGAUUAAUGCCCCAUGGUAUCACCAGAUGGCAUCUGAAGGUGAUUAAAGAUUUAUCGGUACAAGAUGGGCAUGCGUGACAUUAGUUAGUUGGCGGGGUAAAGGCCCACCAAGACUAUGAUGUCUAGGGGUUCUGAGAGGAUGAUCCCCCACACUGGUACUGAGAUACGGACCAGACUCCUACGGGAGGCAGCAGUAGGGAAUAUUGGUCAAUGGGCGAGAGCCUGAACCAGCCAUGCCGCGUGCAGGAUGACGGCCUUCUGGGUUGUAAACUGCUUUUAUACGGGAAGAAAACACCUUUGCGAAGGGAAUUGCCGGUACCGUAUGAAUAAGCACCGGCUAACUCCGUGCCAGCAGCCGCGGUAAUACGGAGGGUGCAAGCGUUGUCCGGAUUUAUUGGGUUUAGAGGGUGCGUAGGCGGGUCUUUAAGUCAGUGGUGAAAGCCUGCAGCUUAACUGUAGAACUGCCAUUGAUACUGGAGACCUUGAGUGUACUAGAGGUAGGCGGAAUUUAUGGUGUAGCGGUGAAAUGCAUAGAUACCAUAAAGAACACCGAUAGCGUACGCAGCUUACUGGAGUACAACUGACGCUGAGGCACGAAAGCAUGGGGAGCGAACAGGAUUAGAUACCCUGGUAGUCCAUGCCGUAACGAUGAUUACUCGAUGUUGGCGAUACACUGUCAGCGUCAAGCGAAAGCGUUAGUAUCCACCUGGGGGAGUACGCUCGCA
rnacentral:rRNA from 1 species